rnacentral:lncRNA from 1 species
AAUGAGUUUUGGUUUAUAUAUAUAUAUAUAUAUAGAAUUGAGCUCCUAUGCUUUUAAAAGUACCAAGUCAUUGGUGCUUGUAAGUUUUUAGCCCUUGGAUUAAGGAAUGUGCGGUUAUGAUGAUGUGGGCCCUCUAGGGUUGAGUGAGUGGUUGGUUGAAUAGUAUAAUCUAACAGAUAAAAAUGAUCAAAGACGUUAGAUUUAACGGUAAAAAAUUUACAAGUACCAAAUGCUUGGUGCGUUUACAAGCACCAUAGCCGGACUCAUAUAGAAUUGAGCUACUAUUAUAUAUAUAUAUAGAGUUGGACUGGGCUACUAUUAGUAGCAAAAUUCCAUUGUUGCUACCAAUUUUUUAGCCUUUGGAUCAACCCUUUUCAUUAUUUCUAACCAUUGGAUUAAAUACUAUAACCCAGUGGGGACCACUCAUCCCUAGGGGGACCACUCAACUCUAACUGACUAAUAUCAUCCUGACCUUACAAUUUUUCAUCCAAGGGUUAAAAACUUGAUAGCAAAAAGAGUGUUUUACUAUUAAUAGUAUUCCAGCCUAAUUCUUUAUGAGUUGGACUGGGCUACUAUUAGUAGCAAAAUUCGAUUGUUGUAUAUAUAUAUAUAUAUAUAUAUAUAUAUAUAUAUAUAUAUAUAUAUAUAUAUAUAUAUAUAUAUAGUUGAGCUAGAAUGCCAUCGAUAACAAACGGGCUUCGUUGCCACCUAGGGGUGGAAACGAGCCGAGCUCGAGCGAGCUUACCUCGGCUCAAAUUCGGUUUGAAAUUAAUUUCGAGCCUAAAUUUAAGCUCAAGCUUGGAUUGAAAUUAAUUCGAGCCGAGCUCGAGCGAGCCUAAUUUCAAGUCGAGCGAGCUCGAGCCCUAAACGAGCCGCUUGAAAUUCUCAACAUUAUACGCUCAAUAGUUUAAUUUUUAUAGAACAUUAUCUAUAAUUUGAUACAAAAAUAUGUCUAAUAGUUUAAAGUACAAAAUAAUUAUAUGAAAUAUAGUAUUAUAAUAUGAAAAAAAUAAUUUAUGAGUUGAAUAUCUAAUUUUUUUCAGUCUCACAUGUCUUUUCUUCCGCCUUCAAUCUCUAUAUUAUUAAUUUUUAUUUAUGCAGUCAAAAAUAAAUAAAUUAUAUAGAUAAAUAUUAGAUUAAACUAUCCAAUUAUAUAUAACUAAAAUUAAAAUUUUAUAUGAAUAAUAAUUUUUUACUUUAAAAAUAUUUUGUAUAUUUUCUCAAGCACAUAAUUAAUAGCAAGGUAGGCAACGGCAGGCAUAUGAUGUUACUUGAUAACUUAGAGGGCUUCCGGCUUGGCCAUUUAGGGUGAGAGACAGAAAAAAAGAAAGAGAGAAACAUAUUGAAAAUUUAAAGCUCUGUGAAGGAUCCGAUCAUCCAUUUUUAAGAUGUCGUUCGAUUUUGACUGUUCAUUUUAUACCCACUUGAUGAACUUUAUUAUGAUUUCAAAAAGUUACAAAAUUUAUUUUCUACAAGUUUCAAAUAUUUUAGAUCAUAUUUAAUUGAGUGGAUCGUCGAUUCGGAAGCUCCAUUAUUGAAAAUAAAUUAUAAGUACGAAGGACUCUAUACUCAUAAGAGUAUAGUAACCCUACUAUAUAUAUAUAUAUAUAUAUAUAUAUAUAUAGAGUAGGGCUAGAAUACUUGUAAAAGUAUCACCCAAGUGAUACUUGUGUGUUUUUAGCCCUUGGAUGGAGAGAUGUGAGGUUGAUAUGAUGGGGGUAGGUGGUGGUAGGUGGUGGUAGGUGGAAUAGUAUUUGAUCCAAUGGCUAUUAGUAAUCAAGGAGUAGAUCCAAGGGCUAGAAACCUAAAAGCACCAAUGGGGUGAUACUUGUAAAGAAUCCCUAGAUCCAACUAUAUAUAUAUAUAGUAUAUAUAUACUUAUAUAUAUAUAUAUAUAUAUAUAUAUAUUAUAUAUAUAUAUAUAAUAUAUAUAUAUAUAUAUAUUAGUCUGGACUGGGCUACUAUUAGCUAGCAAAAUUUUAUUGUUGCUACCAAUUUUUUAGCCUUUAGAUCAACUCCUUUUCUAUAUUUCUAACAUUGGAUUAAUACUAUAACCCAGUGGGACCACUCAAUCCUAGGGGGACCACUCAACUCUAACCGACUAAUAUCUCCUGACCUUAUAAUUUUUCAUCCAAGGAUUAAAAACUUGAUAGCAAAAAUAGCGUUUUACUAUUAAUAGUAUUCCAGCCUAAUUCUA